rnacentral:rRNA from 1 species
CAGGACGAACGCUGGCGGCGUGCCUAAUACAUGCAAGUCGAACGCUUCUUUUUCCACCGGAGCUUGCUCCACCGGAAAAAGAGGAGUGGCGAACGGGUGAGUAACACGUGGGUAACCUGCCCAUCAGAAGGGGAUAACACUUGGAAACAGGUGCUAAUACCGUAUAACAAUCRAAACCGCAUGGUUUUGAUUUGAAAGGCGCUUUCGGGUGUCGCUGAUGGAUGGACCCGCGGUGCAUUAGCUAGUUGGUGAGGUAACGGCUCACCAAGGCCACGAUGCAUAGCCGACCUGAGAGGGUGAUCGGCCACAUUGGGACUGAGACACGGCCCAAACUCCUACGGGAGGCAGCAGUAGGGAAUCUUCGGCAAUGGACGAAAGUCUGACCGAGCAACGCCGCGUGAGUGAAGAAGGUUUUCGGAUCGUAAAACUCUGUUGUUAGAGAAGAACAAGGAUGAGAGUAACUGUUCAUCCCUUGACGGUAUCUAACCAGAAAGCCACGGCUAACUACGUGCCAGCAGCCGCGGUAAUACGUAGGUGGCAAGCGUUGUCCGGAUUUAUUGGGCGUAAAGCGAGCGCAGGCGGUUUCUUAAGUCUGAUGUGAAAGCCCCCGGCUCAACCGGGGAGGGUCAUUGGAAACUGGGAGACUUGAGUGCAGAAGAGGAGAGUGGAAUUCCAUGUGUAGCGGUGAAAUGCGUAGAUAUAUGGAGGAACACCAGUGGCGAAGGCGGCUCUCUGGUCUGUAACUGACGCUGAGGCUCGAAAGCGUGGGGAGCAAACAGGAUUAGA